GUACCUUCAAGCUUUGCUUGGUGAUGGGUGUUUGUCCUAUCCUCUGCGACUGGACUCGCCUUAAAAUUAUUGGCAGCCGGCAUAUUGGCCUUUGGAGCGCAGCACAUUUUGCGAUCUAAGCUAGUAUACUGGUAUCCAUAAAGCGUACUUUUAUCAC
rnacentral:misc_RNA from 1 species